rnacentral:rRNA from 1 species
AUACGUAGGGGGCGAGCGUUGUCCGGAAUGAUUGGGCGUAAAGGGCGCGUAGGCGGCGCGGUAAGUCUGGAGUGAAAGUCCUGCUUUCAAGGUGGGAAUUGCUUUGGAUACUGCCGCGCUUGAGUGCAGGAGAGGUUAUCGGAAUUCCCGGUGUAGCGGUGAAAUGCGUAGAGAUCGGGAGGAACACCAGUGGCGAAGGCGGGUAACUGGACUGCAACUGACGCUGAGGCGCGAAAGUGUGGGGAGCAAACAGGAUUAGAUACCCUGGUAGUCCACACUGUAAACGAUGAAUGCUAGGUGUAGGGGGUAUCGACCCCUUCUGUGCCGCAGUCAACACAAUAAGCAUUCCGCCUGGGGAGUACGGUCGCAAGAUUGAAACUCAAAUGAAUUGACGGGG